rnacentral:lncRNA from 1 species
GUACAUCCACACACCCAUUCCCACAACACACCACCCCUUAUCUACAUAUACCACCCAUUCACAGAAAGAAAAAGAAAAAAAUCAGCAACCCAAAAAUCCCACAAACCAAAGCAAACUACUCCAAAAACAACACCAGCAACACAAAGAAAAUGAAGAAGAAAAAACCCAGAAAGAUUACCAAAAAAUACACGCACCCAUCUGCAUAAAAAAGAAAAAAGAAAAAUCCCCCUCCCAUUAUAUAUUUUUUUCACUCACAAACAAAGGUUGAGUUUGAAGUUUACUUUCGUGGUUUCGAGUUCGUGGUUCCCUAUUAGGAUUGCUUUCUUUUAGUAAAUUGAUUGUCGCAAGAGGUACCAUUUAACAUUUAUUUUAUAAUUUGAUUUUCAUGAUUAUAUAAUACUUGAUUAUAAUGUUAUGAAGUUGCUCAAAUUUAGAUGUGUUAAUUUUGACACAAUAAUAUUGAAAUAUUUCCUAUUUAAGCUAUUGUACAUUUUAUUUUUUUUGUAUCAUAUGUUGUUAUCAAUUAAGUACCUCUUGUGUCCAAUCCAAAAUCAAUUAAAUGUCUAAAAGAAUUAUUCUAAUAGUUUGGUUUAAGACUAAUAAAAAUUCAACAAUUAAAAAAUAAACAAAUUUUGGCAUAUAGACACAAAUUAUUCAAAAACAUAUUAAAAUAAGUAUAAGUCAAUAAAAGCGACCGUGCUAGAACCACGGGACUCGAGGGAUGCUUAAUACCUUCCCCUCGGUCAACAUAAUUUCUUACCCGAAUUUCUAGUUCGUAGACAAAAACUAAAAGAGUCAUUUCCUAUUGAUUAGGGAUUCGAAAAGGUGACUUGGAACAGCACAACUCAAUUCCAAGUGGCGACUUUGAAAAAAUUAAAACAAUCCCUAUUCAAUACCGUCACUUAAAUUGGAAAAA